CCGUAUUUUUUGGCAUAAUAGCUGAUGGUAUUCACACUCAUCCUGCUGCUCUAAGAAUUGCUUACCGGGUCCAUCCUGACGGUUUGAUAUUAGUGACUGAUGCAAUAUCAGCGCUGGGCUUACAGGCUGGUCAGCACAAAAUUGGCCAACUGGACAUUGAGGUGAAAGAUAACAAGGCUUUUAUUGCGGGCACUUCUACUCUUUGUGGAAGCGUAGCUUCAAUGAUUCAAUGUGUUCGGAAUUUUAUCAAAUCUACAGGUGAACUGGACGCUUGCUUCGAACUGGGGUGAUUAUUUCACCCGAGUUCCAUGAAAAUGCGAAUGAAUCAAUUUUUAGGUUGCUCGCCCGAGUAUGCUUUUGAAGCAGCAAGUUUUCACCCUGCGCUAGCUUUGGGUAUUGAAAAAAAUAAAGGGUCGCUCAGUUACGGAGCAGAUGCGGAUUUUAUAAUGCUAACGGAUGACUACGACAUAUCCUCCACUUGGAUAGAUGGAGAAUGUGUCUACAGUGAGGGUGGAAUGUAAUAAUUUUUUCAUUCUUUAAAUUAAUUUUAAGAGUUAUUCUAAAUUGAAGGACCAGCUGAUGUUAGUAAGAUGUAUUUUUUUAUUACUUUAUAAAGAAAAAGUGGAUGAUUUAAAUAAAUAAUGCUAUGACUUA